rnacentral:rRNA from 1 species
GACGAACGCUGGCGGCGUGCUUAACACAUGCAAGUCGAACGGUGAAGCUCCAGCUUGCUGGAGUGGAUCAGUGGCGAACGGGUGAGUAACACGUGAGCAACCUGCCCCUGACUCUGGAAUAAGCGCUGGAAACGGCGUCUAAUACUGGAUACGAGAAGGGUCCGCAUGGGCGCUUUCUGGAAAGUUUUUCGGUUGGGGAUGGGCUCACGGCCUAUCAGCUUGUUGGUGAGGUAAUGGCUCACCAAGGCGACGACGGGUAGCCGGCCUGAGAGGGCGACCGGCCACACUGGGACUGAGACACGGCCCAGACUCCUACGGGAGGCAGCAGUGGGGAAUAUUGCACAAUGGGCGAAAGCCUGAUGCAGCGACGCCGCGUGAGGGAUGACGGCCUUCGGGUUGUAAACCUCUUUCAGCAGGGAAGAAGCGAAAGUGACGGUACCUGCAGAAGAAGCACCGGCUAACUACGUG